GGGGUUGUAGCUCAGUUGUUGAGCUCUUACCUUGCAUGUAUGAGGCCCUGGGUUCGAUCCUUAGCACCA
rnacentral:tRNA from 1 species